rnacentral:rRNA from 1 species
AUUGAACGCUGGCGGCAUGCUUUACACAUGCAAGUCGAACGGUAACAGGUUAAGCUGACGAGUGGCGAACGGGUGAGUAAUGCAUCGGAACGUGCCCGAUCGUGGGGGAUAACGCAGCGAAAGCUGCGCUAAUACCGCAUACGAUCUGAGGAUGAAAGCGGGGGACCGUAAGGCCUCGCGCGAUCGGAGCGGCCGAUGUCAGAUUAGGUAGUUGGUGGGGUAAAGGCUCACCAAGCCAACGAUCUGUAGCUGGUCUGAGAGGACGACCAGCCACAUUGGGACUGAGACGCGGCCCAGACUCCUACGGGAGGCAGCAGCGGGGAAUUUUGGACAAUGGGCGAAAGCCUGAUCCAGCAAUGCCGCGUGCAGGAAGAAGGCCUUCGGGUUGUAAACUGCUUUUGUACGGAGCGAAAAGGCUCUCUCUAAUACAGGGGGCUCAUGACGGUACCGUAAGAAUAAGCACCGGCUAACUACGUGCCAGCCGCCGCAGUAAAAC